CAUACACUACCCCCCCAGCACACGACGUCAUUUCAACGUUGAUAUUUGGGCUAAAUCCCGUCGGUCCGUCAUGGCCCUGAUUUCAACCAAAAUUAGACGUAGAAUAAUGGUCUUGUUUUGGCCGGCCCAUUUUGGUCUAAGGAAAGACGUCUUUAGCACGUCCUUUUUCAGACCACAUAUCAACUAAUUAAAUCCUGAUGUAAAUUAUCAGUUAUAGUCUACCUAGGACUACAUUAUCGUUCCUGUCGACCAUCUUUCCCCCCCGGGGAUUGCCCAAAUCCGCCGCGAACUCUACGGGCGCCCGGCGCCGCCAUCUUGGCUGCCGUUAACUGCGUGUGUGACUUUUGUUUGUUUACUCAUGGCAACAGUUGAUAUGGACGGACAACUCUGUUUUUAGCCUUCUCCCCUCUGAAAAAAAAAUCAGAGGAAAAAUUCAGAUGGAAAAAAAACAGUCAUUGAAAUAAUGAGUAAUUAAAAUUCUGAUAACAAAAAAAAUCACAUAAAUGUUCACGUAAAGGAGACAGGAGUGAACUCUGCGCAUGUACAAGAGGAACGGAGGCGGGAAGCCGUAGCCGAGCCCAUUUCGAACUUUGUUUGAAACACACAGUCAGUUGAAGCCGUUCUAGAACAGCGUGAAGAUGGAACCUGCUACUGAGCACAUCAACUCUUAAGUGUGUCCCUGGAAGAUCUACCAUCAACUUCCAGAACUGCAACUGCUAGUACUGUCAGAUGGUGAAUGCUACUCAGGCAAACACCAUUGUUACACCACUUUGAAGGAGAGCCUGGUCAUUUGGUCCCCUCAGCUUCUCCCUUUCUCAGUGAUAUGUUCAUUGUGGCUGGGAUAAUUGUGGGGCACUCUUUCCUUCAUGGAGGACCCUGCUUGUCUGGACUCUGUGAUGUGGUUGUCCAUACUGCUUCGUGGGAGCCCAGACACGGCUACAGUAAACCUGGAGGACUGUGCAGACCUGGACAUUAGAGAAACAAUCAGGCUUCUGGAGGUGGAAUCAAACCUAUCAGCUGAAGAAAUGGGAAGGGUACAGAACGUGGCCUCUUCCUGGGACCUCCCUCCGCUAACCACAACCAGUGUUGGGGAGUAACGCAUUACAUCUGCGGUGAAAAAUGGAGCAACAAGGCUGACCGUGACAUCGGGAGAGCUGAGGCAGAUCAUCUUAAACAUGAUGAACCUGGACGGUCCGGUGGCGGAGACUUCAAGAAUUAAAU